rnacentral:rRNA from 1 species
AAUUUUGGACAAUGGGGGCAACCCUGAUCCAGCCAUCCCGCGUGUGCGAUGAAGGCCUNCGGGUUNUNAAGCACUUUUUGCAGGGNCGAAAAGGCGCGGGCUAAUAACCGGCGCCGCUGACGGUACCUGCAGAAUAAGCACCCGCUCACUACGUGCCAGCAGCCGCGGUAAUACGUAGGGUGCAAGCGUUAAGCGGAAUGACUGGGCGUAAAGCGUGCGCAGGCGGUUCGGCAAGAAGGAUGUGAAAUCCCGGGGCUUAACCUCGGAACUGCAUUCUUAACUGCCGGGCUAGAGUAUGUCAGAGGGGGGUAGAAUUCCACGUGUAGCAGUGAAAUGCGUAGAGAUGUGGAGGAAUACCGAUGGCGAAGGCAGCCCCCUGGGAUGAUACUGACGCUCAUGCACGAAAGCGUGGGGAGCAAACA